UCCUCUCCUGCCAGACUUAUUACCGGU
rnacentral:piRNA from 1 species